rnacentral:rRNA from 1 species
ACCACGUGUUCACUGCGAGAGGCUGGCGCCCAGACGGCACUGUCACUCGUGACGUGCGUCAGUUGGGACGUGCCGAGCGGGAGCUGCCCUCCGGGGCGGUAUGCCGCACGUGGUGUGGCCCGUUCUCGACGGGAGGAAGGAGCCAGCCUCACCUCGUGGCUCUUCGGUCAGAUAUUCAACAGCUCGCCCGCUUGGGCUGAGCUGUAUGGCAGGCUCGUCGGAAUACCGGGGUGAGGUUGGCGGUGACCAGGCACUAGCGCUCCUCAUGCCGAGACGGAGGCCGCCUGCGGGCCCCUGUGCACCCAGUGGGACUGCCGUGGAAGCCGCCUUGGACUCGGACGCGUUAGUGACGUGGUUGGAGCAAGCAAAGGGAGGGUUGCCAAAGUGCAUGACAAACUGAGAGUGAGGU